AUGAACGCUGGCGGCGUGCCUAAUACAUGCAAGUCGAGCGAACGGACGAGAAGCUUGCUUCUCUGAUGUUAGCGGCGGACGGGUGAGUAACACGUGGAUAACCUCCCUAUAAGACUGGGAUAACUUCGGGAAACCGGAGCUAAUACCGGAUAAUAUUUUGAACCGCAUGGUUCAAAAGUAAAAGACGGUCUUGCGGUCACUUAUAGAUGGAUCCGCGCUGCAUUAGCUAGUUGGUAAGGUAACGGCUUACCAAGGCAACGAUGCAUAGCCGACCUGAGAGGGUGAUCGGCCACACUGGAACUGAGACACGGUCCAGACUCCUACGGGAGGCAGCAGUAGGGAAUCUUCCGCAAUGGGCGAAAGCCUGACGGAGCAACGCCGCGUGAGUGAUGAAGGUCUUCGGAUCGUAAAACUCUGUUAUUAGGGAAGAACAUAUGUGUAAGUAACUGUGCACAUCUUGACGGUACCUAAUCAGAAAGCCACGGCUAACUACGUG
rnacentral:rRNA from 1 species